AUGCAUGGUUCCAGGGACCAGGCCCUCCUGCCAUCCCAGAGGCCUCUGAUCCCACAGCCUGUGCGCCCCGGCACGUGGUUGUGGCUUCAGACGCUGCCACCAGGGGGCGUGGCAGAACUGUCUUUGGGGCUGACCCCGGGCAGGCGGCCCCCACCAAGCUCUUCCUGUUGGCGCCAUCAGAGUCUGGGCUAUCUUCUGAAGCCCUCCCUGGUCUCCACACGCCCCACCCCUUUGCUCUGUUCCUCUUGUUUCUUUCCAGGGUACCUCCUUACCUCCUGUUCAGGUCACCAGAGCUCAAGCUGUGGACAUGCCCCAUUCCCCAAUAAUCUUUUCUUCAUUCUGUUUCUCCACCACUUCCAGUUCCCCCACCACUCCCAGCUGCUCCACACCCAGUCCCCAGCUCCCCCACCACUCCCAGCUGCUUCUCCCUUCCCACCUGUUUCUCCUUCCUGGUCUUCUCUCCAGACCUGGUCUGACUGUCCCUCCCAGUCCCUCAUCUACCUGGGGAUGGUUGUCUUCCACCCUGACCUCCAGGCUCUCUUGGAUGCUGCUCCUUCCCUUUCCUCCCCCCGAGCUCCUCACUGUCCCAGACCCUGCCCAAGGAGGCCUCUAACUCCAGCGCUUCUCUGUGCAUUACACUUGGAGUGGAGCACCGCCGACUCAGCAUGUCCAGACCAGGCCCCCCACACACGCUUCUUCCUGUCUCUGUCUUGGGGGCCAUUGUGUGCCCAGCUCCCCACGGGAAACUGGUCCCAGCUGCCUAUGUCUCCCUGCCCCUCCCUCUACCCAGCUAUGGGUUUUGCCUCCAAACAUUGUCCAAGCCACCCCCUUCCUCUCCUGUGCCUAGACCAGGUUCAUGCCUCCUCCCCAUGUCUGGUCCUGACACCCUCCAUCCCUCCCUCUUGGGACGACCAGCCCCCCUCUUUGUAUUACUGGCUCCCCUUGUCUCUCAGCUCUCAGUGUCACUCUGAAGAGAGGACUUCCCCACAUGCCCUGGCUGAGGAGGGGCCCCUGGGCCACUCAUCUCGCAGAUCUCGAGGUCUGUGA
rnacentral:lncRNA from 1 species